UACGAAGGGGGCUAGCGUUGCUCGGAAUCAUUGGGCGUAAAGCGCACGUAGGCGGCCUGUUAAGUCGGAUGUGAAAUCCCUCGGCUCAACCGAGGACGUGCAUUCGAAACUGGCAAGCUCGAGUAUGGAAGAGGGUCGCGGAAUUCCCGGUGUAGAGGUGAAAUUCGUAGAUAUCUGGAGGAACACCGGUGGCGAAGGCGGCAUCCUGGACCGACACUGACGCUGAGGCGCGAAAGCUAGGGUAGCAAACGGG
rnacentral:rRNA from 1 species